UUCAUCUGAUUUUUUCAAAAAAGUCAUUGAACUUUAUAUAAAUAGUUGGCUAUGAACCCUUUUCGAGAAACAUUGUUUUAAUAUGAAUUUUUUUGUUUUACAGUGCAAUCUCAAACAUUAACUAGAAUUGUUUUGUGUCAGUGCCAGAAAUUGAAUGCACACCUGCAAAUUUCAUAAUUCAUAAAAAUAUUAUGAAUCCAUUAGCAAAUAAAGUUGUAUCCUUUAAAGAUAUGCUGGUAUUAUAGACACAAUCGGCAAGCAUUGAAGUACAACUUAAUGAACUACAAAAUACAUCAAAUUCAGUUAUAAAAAUUUGAGUAACAAAGGUCAAUUAUUUGGCACAAAUUGGUGUUAAAGACGAAGGAGAUAGUAUAUGUUAUUUACUAAGAAUAGUUUUUUAAAAUGGCCUAGCUGUAAAAUUAAAUUAUGCAGGGAGAAGACAAAAAAUUGGAAUAGGAAAAAUGUUGAUUGCAUAUGUUG
rnacentral:lncRNA from 1 species